ACUGCUCAGUAACACGUGGAUAACCUGCCCUGCGGUGGGAAAUAACCCCGGGAAACUGGGGAUAAUGUCCCAUAGGCUACGGAUGCUGGAAUGCUCUGUAGCUCAAAGAUUUAUCGCCACAGGAUGGGUCUGCGACCGAUUAGGUAGUUGUUGGGGUAACGGCCCAACAAGCCUUUGAUCGGUACGGGUUGUGGGAGCAAGAGCCCGGAGAUGGAUUCUGAGACACGAAUCCGGGCCCUACGGGGCGCAGCAGGCGCGAAAACUUUACAAUGCGGGAAACCGUGAUAAGGGAACUCCGAGUGUCCGUCAAUGCGGACUGUCCGUAUGUUUAAAAAGCAUGCGAAGAAAGGGCCGGGCAAGACCGGUGCCAGCCGCCGCGGUAAUACCAGCGGCUCGAGUGGUGGCCACUAUUACUGGGCUUAAAGCGUUCGUAGCUGGGUUGUUAAGUCUCUUGGGAAAUCUAUCGGCUUAACCGAUAGGCGUCCAAGGGAUACUGGCAAUCUAGGGACCGGGAGAGGUGAGGGGUACUUCAGGGGUAGGAGUGAAAUCCUGUAAUCCUUGGGGGACCACCUGUGGCGUAGGCGCCUCACCAGAACGGCUCCGACAGUGAGGGACGAAAGCUGGGGGAGCAAACCGGAUUAGAUACCCGGGUAGUCCCAGCCGUAAACGAUGCGCGUUAGGUGUAUCGAUGACCACGAGUCAUCGAGGUGCCGAAGGGAAACCGUGAAACGCGCCGCCUGGGAAGUACGGUCGCAAGGCUGAAACUUAAAGGAAUUGGCGGGGGAGCAC
rnacentral:rRNA from 1 species